rnacentral:rRNA from 1 species
UUCCGGUUGAUCCUGCCGGACCUGACUGCUAUCGGAACGGGACUAAGCCAUGCGGGUCUGCCAAUUGAAGCACGUCGAUUGGCGGCGAACGGCUCAGUAACACGUAGUCAACCUGCCCUCGGGACGAGAACAAUCUCGGGAAACUGAGGCUAAUUCUCGAUAGGCCAAGAUUCCUGGAACGGGUUUUGGUCUAAAUGAGGUUACAGCAUCUUGUGACUUUCGCCCGAGGAUGGGACUGCGGCCGAUCAGGCUGUUGGUGGGGUAAAGGCCCACCAAACCAGUAACCGGUACGGGCUUUGAGAGAAGGAGCCCGGAGAUGGACACUGAGACAAGGGUCCAGGUCCUACGGGGCGCAGCAGGCGCGAAACCUUCGCAAUGCGCGCAAGCGCGACGAGGUUAUUCCGAGUGAUUUCCGCUGAGGAGAUCUUUUCUCAGAUCUAAAAUGUCUGGGGAAUAAGGGGAGGGCAAGUCUGGUGUCAGCCGCCGCGGUAAAACCAGC